UACAGAAUUGACCACCAGCUACAAAUUGCACCUAUCCACAGACGGUGUAACUUGGACAACUUACAAGGAAUCAAAAGCUGAAAAGGUGUUCCCAGGAAACUCAGACCGAAACACCGUUGUAAAGAAUCCACUCAUUACUGACGUCAGUGCCAGAUACAUUCGGUUCUAUCCCGUCACGUUUCUAAAUUUUCCAUGCUUGAGAGUUGAAGUAUUCGUGCGAAAAUGAUGGCAAUUUUUACUGAUUUUUUUUCCUCUAUAUCAUUGGCCAAAGGAGACAAAGACAAACUGUCGAUGCCUAAUGCAAAAAACGUAUACCAGAAAGAGAGUUCAGAUUUCCAUUAAUCUAAGAUGCGUAAUAAAGGAAAUAAAGUGGGGAAAGGAUCAGAGAGAUCUGAUGCACUUAAUCCGUUGUGAAAACCACUUUAGAAGCUUCUCUUAUCUAGUACAAAAUUGGUUCAAAGUGUUCAAGCCUUGUAUACAAAUUAUCGCUUGGAAUUUUUUUUUCUGUUUUAGCUUCAAAUCAUAUAGGGCCUAACUUAGCAUAGCUAAUCCUCGCUUUGACAGUCUGCAUGUUAAAGAAAAGUUUGCAGCAACAACAGCAGAAGGUAUACCGCAAAAAACGUAAGAUUCUAAAAAUAAAUAUCUAAUCACACUGUUUUGGUAACAUAUAUUUGAUGUAAGUUAUACUCUGCGUUUUAGAAAUCGAUACAUUCUGAGCAUUUUGUAUUAGUAAUAAGUAUAUUUUCACUAGCAGUUGUCAGCAAUGGUGUCCAGGUACGUUUAGCUCUUAACUAGAUCUUUCCGGAAAUCAUUUUGCAGUCGAGCCAAUGCUGACGAUUACACAAGCUUGUAAAGGAAGAGAAAAUGUUAUUUAACAUACCCUUAGUAGUUAAAGUAAAGGAAGAAUAAUAAUUCAAUUCAUUAAAAAAGGAGGAAGGAGGUGUUGUCUUUGAGACUGAUGCUACAUUUCAAAUAAAAGUCGAGUGACGUUAGAAACCCUUUAA